rnacentral:rRNA from 1 species
UGAAAUCUCACCAGGUCCGGACAUAGUAAGGAUUGACAGAUUGACAGCUCUUUCUUGAUUCUAUGGGUGGUGGUGCAUGGCCGUUCUUAGUUGGUGGAGUGAUUUGUCUGGUUGAUUCCGUUAACGAACGAGAUCUCCGCCUACUAAAUAGUCACGCGAAUCCGUUUGGAUUGGCGGGCGACUUCUUAGAGGGACACUUGGCGUUUAGUCAAGGGAAGUUGGAGGCAAUAA